rnacentral:rRNA from 1 species
GCGAAAACUUCGCAAUGAGCGCAAGCUCGACGAGGUGAACCCGAGUGCCCUUCGUUUUGACGGAGGGCUUUUGCCUACCGUAAAAAGGUAGGUGAAUAAGGGUCUGGGCAAGUCCGGUGCCAGCCGCCGCGGUAAUACCGGCGGCCCAAGUGGUAGCCCUCAUUAUUGGGCCUAAAACAUCCGUAGCCGGGUAGGUAAAUCUCUGGGGAAAUCGCCAGGUGAACCUGGCGUAACCCAGAGACACUGCCUAUCUUGGGGACGGGAGACGCCGGAGGAAUCCUAGGGGUAGGGGUGAAAUCCUGUAAUCCCUAGGGGACCACCUGAGGCAAAAGCGUCCGGCUAGAACGUUCCCGACGGUGAGGGAUGAAGGCCAGGGGCGCAAACCGGAUUAGAUACCCGGGUAGUCCUGGCCGUAAACGCUGAGGACUAGGCAUUGGGAAGUCGUAAGGCUCCUCAGUGCCGUAGCGAAGGUGUUAAGUCCUCCGCCUGGGGAGUACGGCCGCAAGGCUGAAACU